rnacentral:rRNA from 1 species
GGAUUAGAUACCCUGGUAGUCCACGCCGUAAACGAUGUCAACUAGCCGUUGGGGUACUUGAUACUUUAGUGGCGCAGCUAACGCGAUAAGUUGACCGCCUGGGGAGUACGGUCGCAAGAUUAAAACUCAAAUGAAUUGACGGGGGCCCGCACAAGCGGUGGAGCAUGUGGUUUAAUUCGAUGCAACGCGAAGAACCUUACCUACUCUUGACAUCCAGAGAACUUAGCAGAGAUGCUUUGGUGCCUUCGGGAACUCUGAGACAGGUGCUGCAUGGCUGUCGUCAGCUCGUGCUG